rnacentral:rRNA from 1 species
UACGGGGGGAGCAAGCGUUGUUCGGAUUUACUGGGCGUAAAGGGCGCGUAGGCGGUCGUGACAAGUCACUUGUGGAAUCUCCGGGCUUAACUCGGAACGGUCAAGUGAUACUGUCGGACUAGAGUACAGAAGGGGCAACUGGAAUUCUCGGUGUAGCGGUGAAAUGCGUAGAUAUCGAGAGGAACACCUGCGGCGAAGGCGACUACCUGGCCUGUUCUUGACGCUGAGGCGCGAAAGCUAGGGGAGCAAACGGG